CACGUAGGGGGCGAGCGUUGUCCGGAUUUAUUGGGCGUAAAGAGCUCGUAGGCGGCUUGUCACGUCGGGUGUGAAAGCCCGGGGCUUAACCCCGGGUCUGCAUUCGAUACGGGCUAGCUAGAGUGUGGUAGGGGAGAUCGGAAUUCCUGGUGUAGCGGUGAAAUGCGCAGAUAUCAGGAGGAACACCGGUGGCGAAGGCGGAUCUCUGGGCCAUUACUGACGCUGAGGAGCGAAAGCGUGGGGAGCGAACAGG
rnacentral:rRNA from 1 species